GAUUAAGUCCGUGAUGGCAUCUGUGGUCAGAGGAAGUGUCUAUACCACAGAAAUCUGGAUCCAGGAAUUCGUCUGGAAUAUCAGCCCCACCAAGCUCAACAUCCAAAAACCGAACAGGCUGCGUACAUGUUGUCAAUCAAUUAGGAGGGACGGGAUAAUACGGAACACAACAGGUCAAAAAAAGGGGAUCGGGAUGAAGUGUGUGUGUGGAGUUCAAAACCUGGAGAGAUGGGGCUGAUUCAAUGCUUUCAUCGGCCAGAUCCAGAUCCAUGAUUGAGCUCCCUCCUUCUCCUGUGUAGCAGCUAAGACUCGCCGGCAGCGGGUAAUCCGACGGGGUGCUCCGCGUCUUCAUCGCGGGGCCGAUGCACUAAGUUGCUUCUCCGGAGUGGAUCUGGAUCGAAAGAAUGGGGAUUACGAGCUGCUCUAGGUGGUGUUCCUCUUGUGACCGGAUAGAGAAAAACGAGAUAGAGGGUGAUAAUGGG
rnacentral:lncRNA from 1 species